UACAGGCUUAACACAUGCAAGUCGAGGGGCAGCCUUGUCUUAGCUUGCUAAGGCCGAUGGCGACCGGCGCACGGGUGAGUAACACGUAUCCAACCUGCCGUCUACUCUUGGACAGCCUUCUGAAAGGAAGAUUAAUACAAGAUGGCAUCAUGAGUCCACAUGUUCACAUGAUUAAAGGUAUUCCGGUAGACGAUGGGGAUGCGUUCCAUUAGAUAGUAGGCGGGGUAACGGCCCACCUAGUCUUCGAUGGAUAGGGGUUCUGAGAGGAAGGUCCCCCACAUUGGAACUGAGACACGGUCCAAACUCCUACGGGAGGCAGCAGUGAGGAAUAUUGGUCAAUGGGCGAGAGCCUGAACCAGCCAAGUAGCGUGAAGGAUGACUGCCCUAUGGGUUGUAAACUUCUUUUAUAAAGGAAUAAAGUCGGGUAUGCAUACCCGUUUGCAUGUACUUUAUGAAUAAGGAUCGGCUAACUCCGUGCCAGCAGCCGCGGUAAUACGGAGGAUCCGAGCGUUAUCCGGAUUUAUUGGGUUUAAAGGGAGCGUAGAUGGAUGUUUAAGUCAGUUGUGAAAGUUUGCGGCUCAACCGUAAAAUUGCAGUUGAUACUGGAUAUCUUGAGUGCAGUUGAGGCAGGCGGAAUUCGUGGUGUAGCGGUGAAAUGCUUAGAUAUCACGAAGAACUCCGAUUGCGAAGGCAGCCUGCUAAGCUGCAACUGACAUUGAGGCUCGAAAGUGUGGGUAUCAAACAGGAUUAGAUACCCUGGUAGUCCACACGGUAAACGAUGAAUACUCGCUGUUUGCGAUAUACGGCAAGCGGCCAAGCGAAAGCGUUAAGUAUUCCACCUGGGGAGUACGCCGGCAACGGUGAAACUCAAAGGAAUUGACGGGGGCCCGCACAAGCGGAGGAACAUGUGGUUUAAUUCGAUGAUACGCGAGGAACCUUACCCGGGCUUAAAUUGCAGAUGAAUUACGGUGAAAGCCGUAAGCCGCAAGGCAUCUGUGAAGGUGCUGCAUGGUUGUCGUCAGCUCGUGCCGUGAGGUGUCGGCUUAAGUGCCAUAACGAGCGCAACCCUUGUUGUCAGUUACUAACAGGUUCCGCUGAGGACUCUGACAAGACUGCCAUCGUAAGAUGUGAGGAAGGUGGGGAUGACGUCAAAUCAGCACGGCCCUUACGUCCGGGGCUACACACGUGUUACAAUGGGGGGUACAGAGGGCCGCUACCACGCGAGUGGAUGCCAAUCCCCAAAACCUCUCUCAGUUCGGACUGGAGUCUGCAACCCGACUCCACGAAGCUGGAUUCGCUAGUAAUCGCGCAUCAGCCACGGCGCGGUGAAUACGUUCCCGGGCCUUGUACACACCGCCCGUCAAGCCAUGGGAGCCGGGGGUACCUGAAGUGCGUAACCGCGAGGAGCGCCCUAGGGUAAAACUGGUGACUGGGGCUAAGU
rnacentral:rRNA from 1 species